rnacentral:rRNA from 1 species
AGUGAACGCUGGCGGCGUGCCUAACACAUGCAAGUCGAACGGGCUAGUGCUUCGCACUAGUCUCUUUCUGGGGUUGUUACUCUAAGGCUACCUGCUAAAGUUAUUGCUUUAAAGCAGGGGGUUUUAGGAGACUUUCUCCGAAAGGGGCCAGUGCGGAGCACUGGCCAGUGGCGAACGGGUGAGUAACACGUGGGUAAUCUACCCUCGAGUGGGGAAUAAGCUUCCGAAAGGGGGUCUAAUGCCGCAUAACGUUUCAUAACGAUGGUUAUGAAAACCAAAGCCCAAAAGGCGCUCGAGGAGGAGCCUGCGUCCUAUCAGCUUGUUGGCAGGGUAAUGGCCUACCAAGGCUAUGACGGGUAGCCGGCCUGAGAGGGUUUCCGGGCCACACUGGAACUGAGACACGGUCCAGACUCCUACGGGAGGCAGCAGUGGGGAAUUUUGCGCAAUGGGGGAAACCCUGAACGCAGCGACGCCGCGUGGAGGAUGACGGCCUCGGUUGUAACUCCUCGUCUCGAGGAACGAAGUACCGACG